rnacentral:rRNA from 1 species
UACGAAGGGGGGCUAGCGUUACUCGGAUUGACUGGGCGUAAAGGGCGCGUAGGCGGCUUGUACAGUCAGACGUGAAAUUCCUGGGCUCAACCUGGGGGGCUGCGUUUGAUACGUGCGGGCUUGAGUUCGGAAGAGGGUCGUGGAAUUCCCAGUGUAGAGGUGAAAUUCGUAGAUAUUGGGAAGAACACCGGUGGCGAAGGCGGCGACCUGGUCCGAUACGUGACGC